AACAAAUAAAAAUCUUAAUAUUUUGUCGUGAUAUUUGUCAGCUAUUAAAUUGCUUAUUCAAAAGUUCAUUCAUUGUGAUUCUGCAUGUCACCAAGUCAUAAAUACUACCAGACAACAUCAAAGUAUAUUUUGUUCUUGAUACUCCUUAAGAAAGCACCUACAACAUAUACACACGCGACAAUCCGUGAUUCACCUUAAUUACACACAAUUCAAUAAUCAGAUUGUAAAUGCUGCAUUAGUAAUGUAUUCGAAAUCCUUAUCGAGGACAAUACAUUGUUGGACACCUUCAAAACAGAAUUUGGAUUGAAACCGGGUCAUAUGGGCCCAAAAAGACAAAUUUUGUUUAAAUGGGUCUACGAUUCGAUGAUAUAGUGGCCCGUUAAACCGGCGCGGUACGGAUCGGGUCGUUGAGAAUCGGAUCUUUAACUGAAGCUGGGGAGCCAUGAAUGUCAAUCACCAAUCUCGAGGUCGAUCAAGGAGCGAUUCGAAAGAGAAGAGCGAGCGAGAUAGAGCUCUGUUGUAUUUGAAACCAGAUAGAAUCGAAGCUAUCCACUGGAAAUAGGGCUUUUGUUCUUCUCAAUCUCCUUCUUGUAGCUUGUGAUUCCUGGAUUACCUGUUUUUGUCAACUUCCAUGGCGGAUGGAUACUGGAAUCAGCAGCGACAGCAUCCUCCUCCUGGUGGUCCUCCGAAACGUCGCCGUUCCGAUUUCGGUAAGCUCAUUUCUCUUAUACUCUCGCUAGUUGGUUUCUCGAUAGCUAGAAGAAGCACAAUACGCAGUUUCAACAACUCUUUGAUUGAGGCCACAAUUGAGCACCUUGAUGAUGAUGAUCAAUAUAGGAUACAGAAACACAUGGGGAAUAGUCUGCUUUAGAUAGAUAAACCCUUCCCGUAAAUAAAUCUCCAGAUUCUGCAUUUUGUCUUCGCAGAGGCUCUACCAUCUGCAAUGCCUUCAGGCCAUGAGAUGCACGGUGGUUAUUUUCCACGGGAUGAGGAUCUUGAUGUUCCCGAUACUAGAACUAUUGGGUCUGCUUAUGAUCGCUACCUACAAAGCGUGGUGGUACCAUUCUUAUUGAUUCAUUUCAGUAUAAUCUUCUGGUCCAUUCUUCUUUCUUUGUUGACCUGGUUCAUUUUUCCUUUGUUCUUGAUGAAGCAAACACCUUCUAUGCAAUCUGGAGAAGCAGGUCAUCGUAAUGGUGUAGCCAUUGGAAGAACAGGAGGUAACGGGCAAUCAAUGGGUGAGUUUAUGAUGAGACGUGGUGGAGUUCUCCCUCCAGACCACGGUCCAGAUGGUCGUGCUUUGGGUUUUGAUCCACAAGAAUCUGUUGAUAGGCGUAACCGUGAACCACUUCCUCUACCUCCAGAUGCAUCCAACACUCUAUAUGUUGAAGGACUUCCUUCUAAUUGCUCAAGGAGGGAAGUAGCUCGUAUCCUAUUUCAUGACAAGUUUUCUUUUUUUCCUUUUCUCGAAACUAACCUUAACGGAAACUAUCUUCUCUCCACUUUCCUUAACCGAGGUCUAGAUAUAUUUCGACCUUUUGUAGGAUAUAGAGAAGUGAGACUUGUGACCAAAGACUCAAAACAUGCAAGUUUCCUUGCUUCACUCACAGUUCGGAUAUUGUUGAAAUCGCUUGUACCAGAAAUUAUAUUACUUUGAUAAACAUACUAAAGGGUUUGUAUUUAUGGUUAAUGCAGCGGAACGGAGAUCCUAUUGUUCUUUGCUUUGUUGAUUUUACAAACCCUGCCUGUGCAGCGACUGCUCUGAGCACCUUACAAGGUAAGUAAUAAUCUUACGAAAUCUCUUUCCACUUGAUUUCUCGUUCUCCUGGCUUCUUAUUCACAUUUAUCUUUAGGUCUGUUUUCAUUGUGUAACCUUUUUCAGUUGGAUUGUCUUGCUAUUUGCUAUAGCCUGAGCCUUAAGUGGCAAAUGCCCUCUCGUCCCUUAAACCAUAGACUUUAUCCCCUGUGCAGCUAUGCUCUAUAUCUCAUUUUCUUUUAAAAACCAACACAUUUCGCAGGCUAUCGAAUGGAUGAGAGUGAGCCUGAUUCGAAGUUCUUACGGCUCCAAUUUUCAAGAAAACCAGGUUCAAGACCAGGACAACGAGGAAGAAGGUAAUGACUCAGGGACAUUGAGGUACAUCAACCAAAUGAAUUUAUUGUUUCUCGUCGGCUGGUUUUAACGGAAAGAGCCAUCCUCGUUCAAGUAGAAACUCAAUGAAACCGAACAUUACAUCACUUGUUGUAUCGUUGAAGCUACCUGAAUCCUGAGAAACAAAGAUGCGUGGAGAGUGUAGAAUCUGAGGUGAUAGAACCUUAAAAUGCUAUUUUCACACAUAUAAUAUAUAUAUAUAUAUAUAUAUAUAUGUAUAUUAUUUUUGUUCCCUCCUUCUGUUAUAAAGUUGUGUUGUCGAUAUCAAAAUGUUUAUUACAAAAAGCUUGGUUUAAUAGAAUUUUAUACGAAGAGGAUUUUCUAUGGCUAAUAUCAAUAAAACAUUAUUUGCUCUGCUUUCUUCAUAAGCACUGUUUUUUUUUACCUUCGUUGUCAAUUCAUAUUUUGACUUGUAUUCCUCUCCUUUUUGUUUUCUCCUCCAGUUUAGAAAAUGAUUGAUUUUUUUUUUUUGGUCUUUCAAUAAUUCCUGUCUAUGUAUUAGAUGAAGACGUGUUUCGGGUGUGCUGUAGUCAGGGACGACUUGUGUGAUAUUUGAGAUAAGUUGUAAAAGAUUAUUUAUUUAAAUCAUUUUGUCGUCUAAAUAAUGUAAUGUUAUCUUGUUUCAUUCAUUGUCUGAAUGUGGAAAUUUUCUGUACACUUGGACAAACAAAGAGACGAACAAAAGCCUUAAGAAGACUUCAUGAAACUUCCUUUGCUUCAACAAUUUCUUACCGUCUAAAUUCUACCAUCAUACACAGAGCCAUUUGCUACUCAUAAAAUAGAUGAGGAAAAUUAAUUACACAUUAUCACUAUCAUCAAUUUACGAAAAAUGAUAAUUACUAAUCUCCUUGUCGGAAGAGUCACACCCCAAAAACGUAUAACCAUAACAAUGCUCUACUCCGCGUCUCUUUUUGUAUUACAUAUCAGAUAAUCAGAAAUCUUUCAUGUUUGUUGUCUGUCCCCUUUCACGAUUUUGAACUUCUUCUUUUUUUUUUUUUAAUGUGUACAUGUUGUCGAGUCUUCCCUAUAAAUGUAGGACAUACAUUAUUAAAACUGAAUUUCCCUAAACCAAAAGAAACUACGUUAGGUCUUGGUCUAAUGGUCAGUUAGUCAGUACCUACUAGAUCUGUGCGUGUAGUGCCUUUCACUAUCGUUGAGUCUUUCCUCAAAUUACUUUUAUAUAAGACUUAGAUAAUGAGACAAGACAAAAUUAAUAUAAGGGAUGCAUAACAAAAUUGUUCAGAAAGACGUAUGUAUACUUGUAUAGAAGCCGCCUGGCCCCCACGAAGCAGUGAAGUCUACGAACCCCUUCCAAUGCUUUCACACGGGGAAUUUAUUUGGUAAUAUACUGCAAUGGACAUCUAUAAAAAAAUACUAUAUUGCAAUGAAAAACGAAUAUAUUGUAAACUUCAAUUUUUGAAAAAAAAAAUUGUAAUUGAAGGCAAAUCUUAUAGGUUAUGGGAUCAGGUGAUUCUUGGAAUAAGACUACAUAACAUGUUGAAAUUCUGAACUUAGGAGGAUAUAUUCAUGCUUUGAACCAAAUAUAACUCGCCACAGAUGUAUUUAGAGAAAUACGUACAAUAAUGGUUGCAUUAGGAUUAAACAGAUUAUGGUUCCUUUAGCUUAAACCGAUAACUACCAUCAGCUGUAUGAAUGACAUGAUUCACUACAAAAUAAAUUACUUUUAAACUUUUGGUCAGGUAUAUUUUCUGUAUAAAGAAUAACUUUCUCCACUAGUAUUAGCGAUUCUAUUCCAUUUUUUAUAUGAAAAAUCAAUCAGGGAAAAAUAAAUUUUACUUAGAUUUUUGCAUGAGCUUUUGCUAAAAGUCAUUGAUUUAUUUGGAAUAUCAUUAUGAAAAUCCAAGCACGUCUUUUUUUUUCUCCUUUUAAUAUAAUCAUGAGUGUAAGGGAGAAAGCAAAUAAAGCAACACAAAUUUGAUGUUCUAUUAUUCAAAAAGUAAGUUAGAAAUGCAUGAAAAAAAAAAUUACUGGGAAAAAUACAGAUGAUAAUAGUGAAUCAGUGAUUACAAAUUCCUUUUUUGGUCGACAGUGAUUAAACAUUCAUUUGAAGAAAUAUUUACAUGAAUUAAUCCAAUUUUGGUACACAUUUUUCUUCUUCGUUUAUUGGAACACAUUAAGGUCAGACAAAGUGUGCAUUACGAUAGUAAUAAACUCCAAAGGUUUUUAUUAGGGAGGCAAUAGUAAAAAUUAAUAUGUUUGAAUCGAUGUGUGUUCUUUCUUUUUCAUACAUUCCAAUUUGAAUGUAUAUAUGAUGAAAAUUAUUAUUUAAAGUAUUGAUAUGAAUAUAUUAUCUCCAAAGAGGAGAAAAAGAAAUCAAAUAGCAUAUAUAUAUGCAGCUACGACCCACGUUGGAUAUUACAUAUUACCAAUCAAAUUAAAUACCCUUUUUGGUUACUUUUGUUUUCCGUGGUUGGCUUGGAGCCCUGGACUUUGAAUCACCAAACGAUGUUUGCUUUUACCUAAUUAUCUCACCAAAUUAGAGACUUUUUUGAGUAAAACAGUUUUGAACUUAAAAGAUUCUCACACACUACUAAAAACCGUUUAAAUUUUGUGUGGAAUGCAUACACAUAUAUUGCCGCUAAAGGUAACUUUCUGAUUGUUAAGUAUAUUUUUAUUCUGGAAACAAAUCUAGCAACAAAUAUAUAUAUAUAUAUAUAUAUAUAUAUAUAUAUAUAUAAUAAAAAAUGUUAGUAAUAAUUUAAAAAAAAAAAAAACCCAGCAAGGCAAAAAAAAUUUCCGCAGUUUACGUAUUUUUAUCUUCAUUCCUACUAGUUUUUUUUUUUAGAUCAUUCAUUCCUACUAGUUAUAAACUCAUAAUUAUUACUUGAUUAAUAAAAUUUUAUUAUUAUUAUUGAUAUUGUGUUUCCAUAUGAUUUUCGAACCAUAAAAUAUUUUUUACUCCAUCACUAGUACCAUGUAAAAAUAACAAAGCAUAUUUAAGUUUGUUUAAACCAACUUAUAUAUGACGGUGAUUAUAUAUUUAUAUUAAGUUUGUUUUACGUCAAUUUCUUCAGCCUCAAAAUUGUCAAGAUUAGUUAUUUAACUUUCGACGCCUAACCAAGAUAGUCAACUUUCGAGAAAAAUAAAACUAUAUAGAAUGUUAAGUUGUUGAUUUGUCUAAAUCCUAAUCCAGCUGGUUACUUACCCAUUUGAUAAAAAUUGCUCAAACAUUUAACUUCUAUUAUCUGAGAUGUUUUAUUGUCUAAUGUUUGACCAAGCCUUAACUAAUUUUCAAGAAGACAAUUGGCCUUGAAUUGGAUUAUCCUCCACCUUGUAUAUUUAUUUCUGAAACACCGGUUCGUGAAUCGUGAUAAUGUUAUUAUUUCCCAAUAUGUUAACAUUAUAGUAUAUAAAUUAAGAUACAAUGUAUAUACGUUAUAUCUUUCUCGUUGAGUUGUUUACAUCAUUUCAAAAGUAAGCAUAUUAAAAAGAAACGCGAUAUGCCGAUAUGACUAUUUGAAAAUUUCAAAUGCUAUUAAAAAUUUUGGUCAUAACAUCUAUUUAUCUUGUCUGAAUCUUAAAACGUAAUAUUAGAUUCGAGUUAAUGUUGAUCAAACAAUAAUUAGAAUAAGAGAUUACAAAUGAAUCUGAGUAAUGACAAGAAACGUGUUAUAAAACGAAGAACGUGUGAGGCAAAACCCCAAAAAACAAAGCAGAAAAUAAAUCAAAGAUUGACUGUCACCGGCACGAGAGAGAAUCAUCUGCAUGACGGACCACCUUCUCUUUCUAUGUUCCUUCUACAUUCAACUCGGCCGCCUAUCUUUUAAGAUUUUAACGCGUUCCUUCUUUAUUUGUUCUUGUCAAGAACAAAUUAAAAUAGGAUGUCAAAGAUAAACUCGAAAUUUGAUUUUUCUUUUACUUUUGAACAAUGUAGUUCGUAGUUAAAGAAAGAAAAAAAAAACCUAUUCAAACUCGUAUAUUGUAUUUUGUUGAAAAUAAAAUAAAAAAUAUUUGGAUAUAGAAAAAAUAGUAUUUCAUGUGCUGGUAAUGGACGAAUGCUUGUUUACAGCAUUCAGAAUGUGUAAUUCUCUCGUUUGUUCCCCUCUGUGGGAUCAUCUAUCUUUUUUACGCACCAUUUUCUAGAAUAAUGUCGGUCAUUUUUGAUUUUUAUAGUUCCUCUAAUAUAUUAUGGUAAAAUUCUGUUACCUGUAGAUUCAAUUCAAUGUUCUCUAUAUUUUAUUUGAUAUGAACAUGCAGAACAUAUCGAUCAACGAUGACCAAAAUUAUAGAAGGGGAAAAAGAAAAUCAAUAAUGUAGCCCGAAAGAGACUAACCUCAUUUUCUUUCUUUGUAUUAUAUAUUCAAUCAUUAUUGUUUUUCUUACAUAUGACAUAAAUUGCCAUUUACCAUGAGCGAUCGAAGUUAAAAAAAAAAAAAAAACCGAGAAAGUGAAAUUGAAAAGCUAUAUAAAGGGUGUGAAGGGGAGAGAGUAGAGCAUCAAACACAAAGAGAAACACAUAGAAAAUGGGGUCACCAAUGGCUUCUUUGGCAGCAACUUUGCUUGUCUUAGCAUUCUCUCUUUGUUUUGUAUCGGAAACCACCGCAAAUUACUACUACUCUUCUCCUCCUCCACCGGUCAAACACUACACUCCUCCGGUUUACAAAUCUCCACCACCACCGGUUAAGCAUUACUCUCCUCCUCCGGUUUACAAAUCCCCACCUCCUCCCAAGAAACACUACGAGUACAAAUCACCUCCACCACCGGUUAGGCACUAUUCUCCUCCUCCGGUUUACAAAUCCCCACCCCCACCAAAGAAGGACUACGAGUACAAAUCUCCUCCUCCACCGGUUAAACACUACUCUCCUCCUCCGGUUUACAAGUCUCCACCACCACCAAAGAAGGACUACGAGUACAAAUCACCUCCACCACCGGUUAAGCACUACUCUCCUCCUCCGGUUACAAAUCUCCNNNNNNNNNNNNNNNNNNNNNNNNNNNNNNNNNNNNNNNNNNNNNNNNNNNNNNNNNNNNNNNNNNNNNNNNNNNNNNNNNNNNNNNNNNNNNNNNNNNNUCCACCUCCACCAAAAAAAGGACUACGAGUACAAAUCCCCUCCACCACCGGUUAAGCAUUACUCUCUCCUCCAGUUACAAGUCCCCACCUCCUCACCAAGAACACUACGAAUACAAAUCACCUCCUCCUCCGGUUUACAAGUCCCCUCCUCCUCCGGUUUACCACUCUCCACCACCUAAGAAGCAUUACGAGUACAAAUCUCCUCCUCCACCGGUUUACCAGUCUCCUCCUCCUCCGGUUUACCACGCUCCCCCACCACCAAAGAAACAUUACGAAUACAAAUCUCCUCCACCACCGGUUUACCAGUCUCCCCCUCCUUUGGUUUACCACUCUCCUCCACCACCCAAGAAACAUUACGAGUACAAAUCACCUCCUCCACCGGUUUACCAGUCUCCCCCUCCUCCAGUUUAUCAUUCUCCUCCACCACCGGUUUACCAAUCUCCCCCUCCUCCGGUUUACCACUCUCCUCCACCACCUAAAAAACAUUACGAGUACAAAUCUCCUCCUCCUCCGGUUUACCAGUCUCCUCCUCCUCCGGUUUACCACUCUCCCCCACCACCAAAAGAGCACUACGAAUACAAAUCUCCUCCUC
rnacentral:lncRNA from 1 species